rnacentral:lncRNA from 1 species
UUUAUUACUAUGAGAGGAUAAAAAUUACAACCAGCCAAAGGGAAUGACAUGAAAGCUGAAGUCCAGGAAGGUCCCAAUGUGAAGUUUCCAGUCGUUCUCUCACCAUGCAGUCCUAGACAGCGUUACUUCCUCCUGGCUACAAUGUGUGAUAAUAGUCAAAGUGGGUCAUCAACCAGGGAGGCUCACCUGAGCCUUUGGCAUCCAGCGUUUUUAUUGGAGCUCAAUCACAUACCGCUUUUGUGUUUACCCUCCUGGAGGCCAGAACUGCCAGUUGGGAUUUUCCCUACCAUCCUCCCACCAGAGCCUUUGGAGACAUUCAUCAGCACAAGGGAGAUGGCCAAGGCUGUGGAACAAUUUGAGGCCAAGGGUCAGAGAGAAGCUGACAGGCUUACAUGUGCCAUCUUAGCCUCUGAGAACACUAGGAACGGGAGCUUGAGUGUCUGAAGUCUGUGCUUCCCAACAGAGCUCCUGAGAUGCUGAGCUGAAAACACUGUUUAUGGACAACUGCUGGAGGAAGGCGCCUCUACAUGAUUUCCUGCAUUUUCAGUUAAACGUGAACUUCUUUCAUUGAGUUUACGAGUCCAUCUGUGAACUGUGGAUACAAAAUUGAACUGAGCAUGUAACUGAGACUGGUAUUAUCUAGGUAUUGCUGCAAUGUGGGUGGAGGAAGGGAAGAGGAAGAAGCUCAAAAGAAAGUGAGAUUUAUAUCAUCGUAUGGAGACAGGAAACUCAAAGGAUUGACUUGCGGCCCUGAACACAUCUGUUGUGGGGGCAGCAUGAGCACUUAGCAAGAAUCUUUUUUUUAGUAAUCUUUCAGGCUCCUUUCCAUUUUUUUCCUCUGCUUAAAAUAAUGAUAACAAUAAGGCAAUAGGGGCUGGCCUGGUGGCACAGCGGUUAAUUUUGCACAUUCUGUGUCGGCAGCCUAGGGUUCACCAUUUCAAAUCCCGGAUGCAGACCUAU